rnacentral:rRNA from 1 species
GAUGAACGCUGGCGGCGUGCCUAAUACAUGCAAGUCGAGCGAACGGAAGAGAAGCUUGCUUCUCUGAUGUAAGCGGCGGACGGGUGAGUAACCAGUGGAUAACCUACCUAUAAGACUGGGAUAACUUCGGGAAACCGGAGCUACUACCGGCUAAUAUUUUGAACAGAAUGGUUCAAAAGUGAAAGACGGUAUUGCUGUAAAUUAACGAUGGAUCCGCGCUGCAUUAGCUAGUUGGUAAGGUAACGGCUUACCAAGGCAACGAUGCAUAGCCGACCUGAAAGGGUGAUUGGCCACACGGGAACUGAGAGACGGCCCAGACUCCUACGGGAGGCAACAGUAGAGAAUCUUCCGCGAUGGACGAAUGCCUGACGGAGCAACGUCGCGUGAGUGAUGAUGGACUUCGGCUCGUAAAACGCUGUUAUUAGGGAAGAAGAUAUGUGUAAGUAACUGUGAACAUCUUGACGGUACCUAAUCAGAAAGCCACGGCUAACUACGUG